CCCAAGUGACGGCUGGAUGGUUUCUAAGAGGCCAUGUGUCCUAUGUAAAGGUGGGGUCCACCCUAAAAAAAAUAAAACCCUAGGGUGCCAAGUGUCCUACAAUUUUGGGCCCUCAUAUUUUUGCCAACAAUGGCCCAAAUGUGCACAAGUUUAAUUAAAAAUAUUCUAUACUACUAAGUUACAAUGUAAUUAAAUUUGAAAUGUCCAAGUGAAGAGUCUUGACUUUAUUUUGUCUCUUCCAAAUGUCCCAAAUUGUGUUUCCAAAAUUUUC
rnacentral:lncRNA from 1 species